GAGACAUUCAGUCCACUCAUCUCCCCAAGGCCAGGGCAGGGCUUCACACAGAGUUAACUUCAGUUAUGAUGGCUGCAUGAAGGUCUGUGGAUCAGUGGAUCACACAGGAGGACCUGGAGUCCUGAGCAGCCUUGGAGGUGACUCCAAGACAAGGACGUGAGAGACAGACCUGACCUGAAGGAUGGGUGUCCACCACGCCAAGCAAGGGGGCCGUGUUGGUGCAGGGAGAAGCCCUGAGUGUGUGCAAGGCCUUGACUGGGGGAGGACCCGUAAGGAGGCUGGAGAGAGGAUGGGGUUGAAGCUGCCACCCAGGGGACGGAAGGGAAUUAACCGGAAGACUGAAAUGGAGAUGGCUGCCCAAGGCAACAGAGGAGAAACGAAGAGGGGAUGGGUACAGAGGAGCAGCAACAGAGGAGAAAAGACUACACGGAAAGCAGCAGGCAUCUGACAGGGAAAAUACAAGUGGGGGUGUUUUCAUCGCAGUAAGAUGUAUCACCAUUAAUCCCCCUUAAAGUAAACCCCCUUUGCUUCAAAUACACUGACUCCACCAUUUUGCCUCUUUCUGAAACAGUUCUGGAAGUCCUCUUCCGA
rnacentral:lncRNA from 1 species